rnacentral:rRNA from 1 species
AGUGAACGCUGGCGGUAGGCCUAACACAUGCAAGUCGAACGGCAGCACAGUAAGAGCUUGCUCUUACUGGUGGCGAGUGGCGGACGGGUGAGGAAUACAUCGGAAUCUACUUUUUCGUGGGGGAUAACGUAGGGAAACUUACGCUAAUACCGCAUACGACCUACGGGUGAAAGCAGGGGAUCUUCGGACCUUUCGCGAUUGAAUGAGCCGAUGUCGGAUUAGCUAGUUGGCGGGGUAAAGGCCCACCAAGGCGACGAUCCGUAGCUGGUCUGAGAGGAUGAUCAGCCACACUGGAACUGAGACACGGUCCAGACUCCUACGGGAGGCAGCAGUGGGGAAUAUUGGACAAUGGGCGCAAGCCUGAUCCAGCCAUACCGCGUGGGUGAAGAAGGCCUUCGGGUUGUAAAGCCCUUUUGUUGGGAAAGAAAAGCAGCAGGUUAAUACCCCGCUGUUCUGACGGUACCCAAAGAAUAAGCACCGGCUAACUUCGUG